AGUACGUAUUCGCUCAUUGGCUGGAGGGAGUGUGCGUACUAAGUGAUUGGAUUCUCUUAGCAGGCUCCCUUGGGCAAUGCUUCACAAACAUGACUGUGCAUGCCAAUCACCCAGAGAUCAUGUUAAAAUGCACAUCUGGUUGAGGAGGCCUAGGUUUCUAUAUAUUAUAGAAGUUCAAAGAAGACAGACUCUAGCCAAGAGCAGUGUGAAGAAAAGAAGGCUCUAUAUUGAUCGCAGUCCAGGGAUGCCUUCUGGCUUCCUGGCAGCAAUUCCGGCCUGAGAUUCCUUCUCUGUCAUACUUCCUGUCAAUGUUGUAUGAUAUCAAGCUGUAGCCAUCUCAAAAGGACUGUGAAUACCUGUAAAUCCCAACCAUCAAAAAUCACACCGAGGAAUCCAAAUUAGCAUUAUUAUGUCAAAAGAAAAAUCUGAUUUCCCCACUGUCU